ensembl:lncRNA
AUUGCUGGUGCAUGUGCACCAGCUUUCAGAUGUGACCCCACUCCUGCAGCUGAACUGCUUCUUCAUUUGUGAAAAAAUCCCAUGUUGGGAUUUCAGUGGCCAAAAAGUGCCUGCGCUACCAACCUCAGCCAUUUGAGUGCAGGCAAAAUAUAUCUGGCUUGAUUCAAGGAGGUCAAGUUAAUUUUGGCCUGAAUUUGCUAGAGUCCUGUCAUAGAAUCUUUAAGGUUGGAAAAGUCCACCAAGAUCAUCAGGUCCAACCACCAAUCCAUCCUACCAUGCCCACUGUCUAUAUCCCCCAGUGCCACAUCUCCACAGCUCUUGAACACCUCCAGGGACGGUGAUUUCACCACCUCCGUGGGCAGCCUGUCCCACUGCAUCACCACUCUUUCAGAGAAGAAAUUCCUCCCAGCUUCCAACCUGAAGCUCCCCUGGCUCAAGCUGAGGCCGUUCCUUCUCGUUCUAUCACUGUUAACCAAGAGAAGAGGCUGACCUCUGCUUCACCAUAACCUCCUUUGCAGUCAGAAGUAAGGCAGCCUGACUGGACUGCCCCUCUCAGUCUUAAUGCUGCGUUCAGUUCUCCAGUGUACAAACCCAACAUGCAGAUCACUGCUACUGAAUCAGGAAAGGAAAAAUACGGAUGAAGAGUUACUCUGUCAUACUUGGAAUUUUGGUCAGAUGUUUAAAUUAAUCGAUAUGUGUUUAGUAACGGGUUUGGUUACGCAGCUUUGAACCUAGCAUAUCUGUUCUCUGCACACCAGAAGUCCCUCUGCCUCAUCUGUUUGUAUCCUCGUUUCCAAUAAUAUCUUCCCUGCAGGAUGAAUUGUUUUACUGCACACUACAUACACGCUACACCGUGUGUCAACAACCAAGUUCAUAGUUGGUACAGUUGAGAACAGCCUGUUAUUUUGGCUUUUGGUAACAUUAAGGAAUAUGCAGUGAAAAAUACAUCCUUUCUUUUAUCCAGAAUCAUCUCACUUCAGAGAGAGAAUGCAUUCCAACCAUGCUGUUUGAAGCACCAUCCAAAAGGGCCGUCUCCAGUCGUCAUCUUUUUCCAAGGAGACGUGGAUUAGCAUUUGGCUGUGGCUUUUCCAAAAGCAGUUCUGUAGGUGGUUAAAUUGGCUUGCAUAUCUGAUCUGACCGCCUGCAAUUUAGUGCUCAACUCAUGCUUGAAUCCUCUGCAAAUCUUAUGGAAAUCCAUUAACAUUUAGCAUUUCUUUGCAGCCCGCUGGUUAACCCAACCCUAGUUGGUUGAGACUAGGCUGGAGCUGCUGAAUCCUUUGCUGUUGAUUUGGGGAUUUUAACAGUUAGAUAGAUUAAAAACUGGUUAAUAAGAGCACAGCCAAUGUUGUAUAACAGUCAUUCAUUUUUAAAAUAGAAUGAAAUCCAAUUCCUUCAGGAAGCUGUAGCAUUAUUUCAUCAAUAUGGUCGCAUUCUUUCAGCCAGCUCCUAAUCUGAUGGAAAAGGAUCAUUUGUGUUUUCUGAAACCAUGCAAGCCAUACUUCCCCGGUGCUGUGUCCUGAAUUCUCUACAGAUCAAUUCUUACGGGAGCAUUCCAGGAUUUCCCAGUGGAAGGUUAAGGAGCUGGUCGCUCACUGCACUUACCACCAAAAAAAUGUGAUCACCGCUUCUUUCCUUGUUCAAAACUGCAGACUUAUAUUGACUAAAAGUAGAUAUGUAUUCUGAAUCAUAAGUGGGACCUUAACAAUCACUGUGCUGUAGGAAAAGCUAACAAGCAGGGGAUACAUUUGCUCCUGGAACACGUAGAUACUUUCUUCUUAGUUUCCUUGACUCCAUUUGUCACGGCCUUUUUCAGUGUUGUCUUUACAUUCCCAUAUCAGCCCUCUCCAUCCCCAACCUGCCAGGCUAUGAUUCCUGGUGCAGCGAUUUUGGUGGAGCUGUUGCGUUUUAAAGCAGUUAAGGAUAGGAUCCUAUGCCUCGUUCCAUUGGCAGUCCCAAAAUGUGAGGAGUUGAGGCCGUGCAUGGCGUAACGAAGAACCAAGCCACAGAUUUCUUGGGGUAGGCCACCGUUCUUUGGCCACAGCUGUGGUCCACAUGCUUUGUGGAGCAUGUAACUGCUGCAAUUUAUUAAGGACACGCAACUAAAAUGAUAAUCGGAUAAAAAGAUCAUUUAUUGUCAAACGAUUAUGGAGCUGCAUUAUGUGAUUUCAUAUCUUUUCCUUCAAAAUCUCUGCAUUUCAAACCAGCUUGUGGUUUUACUCCAUGCCAUUAACACUUUGGUAUUACACAGUAUAUUUCACAUGGCAAAUUCUGUGGAAUAUGGAUUAUGUUAUCAGGAAAUAAACACAAAUUUC